rnacentral:rRNA from 1 species
CUGACCGUAAACUAUGCCAUCUAACGAGUCGGUAUUGGUUAUUAUAUUGCCAUUUUGACGAGUUACCCGGAAACGAAAGUCUUUCGGUUCCGGGGGGAGUAUGGUUGCAAAACUGAAACUUAAAGGGAUUGACGGAAAGUCACCACCAGAAAUGGAGCCUGCGGCUUAAUUUGACUCAACACGGGAAAACUCACCCGGUCUAGACACUAAAAUGAAUGACAGACUGAUAUAUCUCUCAAGAUAUAGUGCAAAGUGGUGCAUGGCCGUUCUUAGUUCGUGGAGUAAUCUGUCUGGUUAAUUUCGAUAACGAACGAGACUAGAACAUGGUUAAUUGUGUGUGGUAUUGUUGUUUACUUACAUAGAGAUAAAUGGAUAUGCAAAUUAAAUUGCCUGAAAACUGGCAAUAACAGGUCUGUUAUGCCCUUAGUUGUCCGGGGCCGCACGCGCGCUACAAUGGAAAUUGCAGUGCGUAUUUACUAUAUCGAAAGAUAUGGUUAAACGUGUCAAAUUAUUCCGCAUUCGGGAUCGGAAGCUGUAAUUGCUUUCGUGAACGAGGAACUUCAAGUAAGUGUGUGUCAUUAGCGCACGCUG